CCGUCGGUAGACGCUACGGACUUGAAAAUCCGUUGGCUUUAUUGACCGUGAGGGUUCAAGUCCCUCUACCCCCA
rnacentral:tRNA from 1 species